CCUCAAAAUCUAAAACUAGGCGAGACGCCAAUAGAAUUUGCAGAAAGAGUCAAGGACAUAAUAUCUAUUCGAGUUGGUCUUAAAAAGGUUCCUUGGGAUAGAUAUCUGAAAUACUCUCGUCCUGGUCCAAAGCACACCGAACAGAAGCAACAAAUCUUCGCAGAGUCAGUGCUGCGACGUCUCGAGGAAAAAUGAAGAAAAAUCAGGCUCGUGUAUGGAAUUUCCCUUUUUCCAUUUAAUGUCCCCUUUAUUUAGCUAUUUUUGCAGUUUCAUGCUGAUGCGAUCCCUUUUCUGAAUUUCCACUUUUUUGCUUGUAACUAUGGUGUAUAUUAUUGUUAGAGAAAUGCAAGAUUGCGUGUAUUACAUUCAAACCCUGACAUAAGCAGAUUAGGUGAUGUAGGACAUGAAAAUUAGAUAUGA